GCCUUGUCCAUCUGCUGGAAAUGCCGAGCGUCUGCCUUCUAAGCAGAGGGUCGCAGGUUCGAAUCCUGCCGGGCGCGCCA
rnacentral:tRNA from 1 species